rnacentral:tRNA from 1 species
UAGACAGAAGCCCGUUGGUUGGGGCAUCUAGCUGUUAACUAGGGUUUCAUGGGAUCGAAGCCCAUCUGUCUAG